rnacentral:rRNA from 1 species
GAUGAACGCUGGCGGCGUGCCUAAUACAUGCAAGUCGAGCGAACAGACGAGGAGCUUGCUCCUCUGACGUUAGCGGCGGACGGGUGAGUAACACGUGGAUAACCUACCUAUAAGACUGGGAUAACUUCGGGAAACCGGAGCUAAUACCGGAUAAUAUAUUGAACCGCAUGGUUCAAUAGUGAAAGACGGUUUUGCUGUCACUUAUAGAUGGAUCCGCGCCGCAUUAGCUAGUUGGUAAGGUAACGGCUUACCAAGGCGACGAUGCGUAGCCGACCGGAGAGGGUGAUCGGCCACACUGGAACUGAGACACGGUCCAGACUCCUACGGGAGGCAGCAGUAGGGAAUCUUCCGCAAUGGGCGAAAGCCUGACGGAGCAACGCCGCGUGAGUGAUGAAGGUCUUCGGAUCGUAAAACUCUGUUAUUAGGGAAGAACAAAUGUGUAAGUAACUAUGCACGUCUUGACAGUACCUAAUCAGAAAGCCACGGCUAACUACGUG